rnacentral:rRNA from 1 species
GUAAGGAAUAUUGGACAAUGGACGCAAGUCUGAUCCAGCCAUGCCGCGUGAAGGAUUAAGGUCCUCUGGAUUGUAAACUUCUUUUAUAAGGGACGAAAAAAGGCUUUUCUAAGUCGUCUGACGGUACCUUAUGAAUAAGCACCGGCUAACUCCGUGCCAGCAGCCGCGGUAAUACGGAGGGUGCAAGCGUUAUCCGGAUUCACUGGGUUUAAAGGGUGCGUAGGCGGGCAGGUAAGUCAGUGGUGAAAUCCUAGAGCUUAACUCUAGAACUGCCAUUGAUACUAUCUGUCUUGAAUAUUGUGGAGGUAAGCGGAAUAUGUCAUGUAGCGGUGAAAUGCUUAGAUAUGACAUAGAACACCUAUUGCGAAGGCAGCUUACUACGCAUAUAUUGACGCUGAGGCACGAAAGCGUGGGGAGCAAACAGGAUUAGAUACCCCUGUAGUCC